CACUCUUUUCCUACACAGGCUUGGGGCUUCUGAGUUGAUUCAUGUUUGCCUGUUUUACCACAGUUGGACACUUCCAUUUCAUCUUUUCAUGGGGGAAUUAGCAGAGUUUUCAGGAAACAAUACGAGCCACCACUCUUUUCAAUUGCAAGGGGGGAGAUUUGGCGUAGAGAGCAAGAUGUUCAUAAGGGCAUCUGUUACCUCUCCUAAU